rnacentral:rRNA from 1 species
UACAGAGGUCCCAAGCGUUGUUCGGAUUUACUGGGCGUAAAGGGAGCGUAGGUGGCGAGCAAAGUCUAAUGUGAAAGCUCUGAGCUUAACUCAGAAAUGGCAUUGGAUACUGGCUUGCUUGAGGAUUGGAGGGGAGACUGGAAUACUUGGUGUAGCAGUGAAGUGCGUAGAUAUCAAGUGGAACACCAGUGGCGAAGGCGAGUCUCUGGACAAUUCCUGACACUGAUGCUCGAAAGCUAGGGGAGCAAACGGG